UACGAAGGGAGCUAGCGUUGUUCGGAAUCACUGGGCGUAAAGCGCACGUAGGCGGACUUGUCAGUCAGGGGUGAAAUCCCGGGGCUCAACCUCGGAACUGCCUCUGAUACAGCAAGUCUUGAGUCCGGAAGAGGUGGGUGGAAUUCCUAGUGUAGAGGUGAAAUUCGUAGAUAUUAGGAAGAACACCGGUGGCGAAGGCGGCCCACUGGAUCGGUACUGACGCUGAGGUGCGAAAGCGUGGGGAGCAAACAGG
rnacentral:rRNA from 1 species